GCAUGCUUACCAUGCAGUCGAACGGCAGCGCGGACUUCGGUCUGGCGGCGAGUGGCGAACGGGUGAGUAAUGCAUCGGAACGUACCUUUCAGUGGGGGAUAACGCAGCGAAAGUUACGCUAAUACCGCAUAUUCUGUGAGCAGGAAAGCAGGGGAUCGCAAGACCUUGCGCUGAUGGAGCGGCCGAUGUCAGAUUAGCUAGUUGGUGGGGUAAAGGCUCACCAAGGCGACGAUCUGUAGCGGGUCUUAGAGGAUGAUCCGCCACACUGGAACUGAGACACGGUCCAGACUCCUACGGGAGGCAGCAGUGGGGAAUUUUGGACAAUGGGCGCAAGCCUGAUCCAGCCAUGCCGCGUGAGUGAAGAAGGCCUUCGGGUUGUAAAGCUCUUUCGGCCGGGAAAAAAUCGCUUGGGUUAAUACCCUGAGUGGAUGAUGGUACCGGAAUAAGAAGCACCGGCUAACUACGUGCCAGCAGCCGCGGUAAUACGUAGGGUGCGAGCGUUAAUCGGAAUUACUGGGCGUAAAGCGUGCGCAGGCGGUUAUGCAAGACAGAUGUGAAAUCCCCGGGCUUAACCUGGGAACUGCAUUUGUGACUGCAUAGCUAGAGUGCGGCAGAGGGGGAUGGAAUUCCGCGUGUAGCAGUGAAAUGCGUAGAUAUGCGGAGGAACACCGAUGGCGAAGGCAAUCCCCUGGGCCUGCACUGACGCUCAUGCACGAAAGCGUGGGGAGCAAACAGGAUUAGAUACCCUGGUAGUCCACGCCCUAAACGAUGUCAACUGGUUGUUGGAGGG
rnacentral:rRNA from 1 species